rnacentral:rRNA from 1 species
UCCUACGGGAGGCAGCAGUGAGGAAUAUGACAAUGAGCGAGAGCUUGAUCCANCCACCCGUGCAGGAAGACUGCCCUAUGGGUUGUAAACUGCUUUUACAGAGGAAGAAACACCCCUUCGUGAGGGGGUUUGACGGUACUCUGCGAAUAAGGAUCGGCUAACUCCGUGCCAGCAGCCGCGGUAAUACGGAGGAUGCAAGCGUUAUCCUGAAUCAUUGGGUUUAAAGGGUCCGUAGGCGGGCAGUUAAGUCAGCGGUGAAAUCCUGUAGCUCAACUACAGGCCAGCCGUUGAUACUGGUUGUCUUGAAUUAAUGUGAAGUGGCCGGAAUAUGUGGUGUAGCGGUGAAAUGCAUAGAUAUCACAUGGAACACCGAUUGCGAAGGCAGGUCANUAACAUUAUAUUGACGNUAAUGGAGGAAAGCGUGGGGAGCAAACAGGAUUAGAUACCCUGGUAGUCCACGCCGUAAACGAUGGAUACUAGCUGUUCGGGGCACAUUGGUGCUCUGAGUGGCCCAGCGAAAUAAGUCNG